AGGACGAACGCUGGCGGCGUGCUUAACACAUGCAAGUCGAGCGGAAAGGCCCUUCGGGGUACUCGAGCGGCGAACGGGUGAGUAACACGUGAGCAACCUGCCCUUAGCUCCGGGAUAGCUCCGGGAAACCGGAAUUAAUACCGGAUACAACCACGGCCGACAUCUGCUGUGGUGGAAAGGAUUCCGGCUAAGGAUGGGCUCGCGGCCUAUCAGCUAGUUGGUGGAGUAACGGCCCACCAAGGCGACGACGGGUA
rnacentral:rRNA from 1 species